rnacentral:rRNA from 1 species
AGAUUGAACGCUGGCGGCAGGCCUAACACAUGCAAGUCGAGCGGCAGCACGGGUACUUGUACCUGGUGGCGAGCGGCGGACGGGUGAGUAAUGCCUAGGAAUCUGCCUGGUAGUGGGGGAUAACGCUCGGAAACGGACGCUAAUACCGCAUACGUCCUACGGGAGAAAGCAGGGGACCUUCGGGCCUUGCGCUAUCAGAUGAGCCUAGGUCGGAUUAGCUAGUUGGUGAGGUAAUGGCUCACCAAGGCGACGAUCCGUAACUGGUCUGAGAGGAUGAUCAGUCACACUGGAACUGAGACACGGUCCAGACUCCUACGGGAGGCAGCAGUGGGGAAUAUUGGACAAUGGGCGAAAGCCUGAUCCAGCCAUGCCGCGUGUGUGAAGAAGGUCUUCGGAUUGUAAAGCACUUUAAGUUGGAGAAGGCAGUUACCUAAUACGUAUCUGUUUGACGUUACCGACAGAAUAAGCACCGGCUAACUCUAGUG